GUGUUAUUGAGCCAGAGACACAUAAAUCCACACUGAAGCAGCCACGGGGGAAUGUGAACAGGAGACCGGAGGAGACUGUGGGCUGUGGCAGGAGAGAGAGGAGAUGACACAGGCCGUGAGCGGCUGGAGUGGUGAGCAGUGACCGAUCCCAUUCUCGCCCAGCCAUCUCCUAAGAACCACCCGUUUCUUCCAUCCCUCUGGCCAGGCUGGCCCAGGCAUGAGGGCACCGAGAGCAGAGCUUGUUUCAGUCAGAGGAGUAGACUGCCUGAGGCCCUCUUCAUCCCAUCCUUCAGCCCUGUCCGCGGGCAGAGAAGUGAGCACAUGUCAAUCAGAAGCAAGCACCAGCCCGUCAAUGCGUCUGACCGUGAAAGUCUCUGUUCUUCCGACGGCUGCCUGAUCUACAGGGUUCUCUGAGCGGCACAUCAUUCCCAUGCCCCUCAUGGUUCAACGUCCUGAGCAUCGCUAACACAUUGUUUUUACCUAAAAUAAUUCUCAACUGUGCAACUUGAAAGUGAUUAUUUUAAUCAAGAUUAAAAAAAAAAACAAACCCAAAACUUUUCAUUGGUUUGUCCAGAGUGGAU